AUAUGCUGCAAUGAGCAGCUUGAUGUUGUCUAAAUAAUGGCAUGUUCAUUGUCACAGACAGUCACAAAUAGAUUAUUUAUGGCCAUAUUUUGAUAAGUAUACACUAUAGAAGUGGCAUCUCUUCUACUCUAUAUUCUGGUUUUUGCACUUCUUGAUGAGACCAUUUGAUCACAUCUGGGAGUGGUUUACCUUCCUACAUCUUGGAUGCAUCUGCUGUUACUCCGGUCAAAGCAAUGGCUGCUUUGGAUCCGGAUGGGCGGUCCAAAUGCUUGCUGAUGAACUCCCCGGCUAGCAGGAGGU
rnacentral:misc_RNA from 1 species